rnacentral:rRNA from 1 species
UACAGAGGGUGCGAACGUUGCUCGGAAUUACUGGGCGUAAAGCGCGUGUAGGCGGAACGGAAAGUCAGAUGUGAAAUCCCCGAGCUCAACUCGGGAACUGCACCUGAAACUUCCGAUCUUGAGUACCGGAGAGGGUGGCGGAAUUCCUGGUGUAGAGGUGAAAUUCGUAGAUAUCAGGAGGAACACCGGUGGCGAAGGCGGCCACCUGGACGGUUACUGACGCUGGAGACGCGAAAGCGUGGGGAGCAAACAGG